AUGCAAGUUUAUGGCACUUAAUGAAGAGGACAAUGAUGGAGGCAUUGAUGAUAUUAAUCAUGCUAAUGGUAAUGAUGGGAACAAGAAUGAUGGAAUUGAUGAGAAUAAUCGUAACAUUGAUUAUAAUAACAUGCAUGAAUCUACAUGUAAAGAUACUCAUAAGAAGGAAAAUCAGAAGAAAUUUAAAGAACCAAUGGGAUUUCA
rnacentral:lncRNA from 1 species